AAAGCGAGACAUUAUAGAUUUUGGACAAAAGGGGGGGGGGUUGUUUGCAUGCCUUGCCUUUUUUGUUGCCUUUGGAUGCUGGCAAUAGCAAUUUGUUGCAUGUGCUCAAGGCUUUUAAAGGGGGUGAGGAUGCAGAUGGCACAAACCCAACCUGCUUUUCAAAUUGCUCAUGUCCUCCAACACCUGUGCACUAUAAGCAAAGUUUGUUCCUGCAAGUCAGCUAUAUUGUGAUUUGGCGCAUGUAUUCGUUAUGGGUGUUUGCGCACAUACAUAGUGUGUAUAUGUGUGCAUAUAUUCACAAAAGGUGACUCUAAAGGGGAAAUGGCUUUGUCUUCCAUAUAUAUAAACAACUUGUAAUUUGUGUUGUAGAAUGAGAAAUGGCUCAAUUGUGAGCAAAAAGUUAAAUACAACUUUCAACAAUGGAUCUCUUGGCUCUCGCAUCGAUGAAGAACGCAGCGAAAUGCGAUAAGUAAUGUGAAUUGCAGAAUUCAGUGAAUCAUCGAAUCUUUGAACACACCUUGUGCUCCUUGGGUUACCUAUGGAGCAUGCCUGUUUGAGUGUCAUGUUGAUCUCAAUUCCCCUCAGGCUUUAUUUUGAAAUAUAAAUGAAGGCCUGUUCAGGGUUAUUGGAUUUGGAGGUUUCAUGCAGGUUCCUUUUGUAAGGGAAUCAGCUCCUCUUAAAAAUAUUAGCUGGAGGAUGAAGCAAAAAUAUAGGCUCAGCAUUGUUCAAUUGGCUUUAUGGUGUAAUAAUUAUUUCAUCAUAUGCUAUACAGUGCAUGGGAAAAUAUAGUCCCAAGGAGGCUUUUUGUAGCAUUCUCUGCUUCUAGUUUUUGUCAGGUCUUAUCUGGCAAUUCAUGUAUUCUUUUUUGGCCUCAAAUCAGUAGACUGCCAAUU
rnacentral:rRNA from 1 species